rfam:Medicago truncatula strain A17 chromosome 8, whole genome shotgun sequence.
AAUAACUCUAGUUGUCCAGUGUUUGAUUUGUAAAACUGUUUCAGGUACACGACAAACUGGAGGCAAGGGACAGGAUAA